rnacentral:rRNA from 1 species
UACAGAGGGUGCAAGCGUUAAUCGGAAUUACUGGGCGUAAAGCGUGCGUAGACGGUUAUUUAAGUCAGGUGUGAAAGCCCCGGGCCUCAACCUGGGAAUUGGCAUUUGAGUACUGAAUAGCUAGGGUGCGGAAGAGGGAAGCGGAAUUUCCGGUGUAGCGGUGAAAUGCGUAGAUAUCUGGAGGAACACCGGUGGCGAAGGCGGCAUCCUGGACCGGCAUUGACGCUGAGGAGCGAAAGCCAGGGGAGCAAACGGG